UACAGAGGGUGCAAGCAUUAAUCGGAUUUAUUGGGCGUAAAGAGCGCGUAGGCGGGUCUUUAAGUCAGAUGUGAAAUCCCCAGGCUCAACCUGGGAACAGCAUUUGAAACUGAAGAUCUUGAGGGUAGUCGGAGAAAAUGGAAUUCCACGUGUAGCGGUGAAAUGCGUAGAUAUGUGGAAGAACACCGGUGGCGAAGGCGAUUUUCUAGAUUAUACCUGACGCUGAGGCGCGAAAGCAAGGGGAUCAAACAGG
rnacentral:rRNA from 1 species